rnacentral:tRNA from 2 species
UGGGGCGUAGCCAAGCGGCUAAGGCACGAGACUUUGACUCUCGCAUUCGCAGGUUCGAUCCCUGCCGCCCCAGCCA